AUCAACUUUCGAUGGUAGGAUAGAGGCCUACCAUGGUGGUAACGGGUAACGGGGUGUUAGGGCACGACACCGGAGAGGGAGUCUGAGAAACGGCUACCACAUCCAAGGAUGGCAGCAGGCGCGCAAAUUACCCAAUCCCGACACGGGGAGGUAGUGACAAUAAAUAACAAUACGGGGUUCUAAAGGAUUUCGUAAUUGGAAUGAGUACAAUUUAAAUCUCUUAACGAUCAACAAUUGGAGGGCAAGUCUGGUGCCAGCAGCCGCGGUAAUUCCAGCUCCAAUAGCGUAUAUUAAAGUUGUUGCAGUUAAAAAGCUCGUAGUUGAAUUUCGGGGUUAGUAGGUUGGUCAUGCCUCUGGUAUGUACUGAUCUCACUGAUUCCUCCCUCUUGACGAACUGUAAUGUCAUUAAUUUGGUGUUCCAGGAAAUCAGGACUGUUACUUUGAAAAAAUUAGAGUGUUUAAAGCAGGCUUAGGCUUGAAUACAUUAGCAUGGAAUAAUGAAAUAGGACGUUUGAACCUAUUUUGUUGGUUUCUAGGAUCGACGUAAUGAUUAAUAGGGAUAGUUGGGGGCAUUAGUAUUCAAUUGUCAGAGGUGAAAUUCUUGGAUUUAUUGAAGACUAACUACUGCGAAAGCAUUUGCCAAGGAUGUUUUCAUUAAUCAAGAACGAAAGUUAGGGGAUCGAAGACGAUCAGAUACCGUCGUAGUCUUAACCAUAAACUAUGCCGACUAGGGAUCGGAUGAUGUUAAUUUUUUAAUGACUCAUUCGGCGCCUUACGGGAAACCAAAGUGUUUGGGUUC
rnacentral:rRNA from 1 species